AUUGAACGCUGGCGGCAGGCCUAACACAUGCAAGUCGAACGAGUGGCGGACGGGUGAGUAAUGUCUGGGAAACUGCCAGAUGGAGGGGGAUAACUACUGGAAACGGUAGCUAAUACCGCAUACCAUCGGAUGUGCCCAAAUGGGAUUAGCUUGUAGGUGAGGUAACGGCUCACCUAGGAGACGAUCCCUAGCUGGUCUGAGAGGAUGACCAGCCACACUGGAACUGAGCCACGGUCCAGACUCCAACGGGAGGCAGCAGUGGGAAAGAUUGCACAAUGGGCGCAAGCCUGAGGCAGCCAUGCCGCGGGAAUGAAGAAGGCCUUCGGGUUGUAAAGUACUUUCAGCGGGGAGGCGUUACCCGCAGAAGAAUCACCGGCUAACUCCGUGCCAGCAGCCUCGGUAAUAC
rnacentral:rRNA from 1 species